rnacentral:rRNA from 1 species
CACUACGAGUGAAAACUUAAACUUAAAAGACUUGACGGUACUUCACACCCAACCUAGAGGAGCCUGUCCACUAACCGAUAAUCCGCGAUUAAUCUAACCACUUCUGGCCACACAGCCUAUAUACCGCCGUCGCCAGCCUACCUUGUGAAAGAAACCAAGUGGACAAAACAGUACUACACUAACACGACAGGUCGAGGUGUAGCUAAUGAAGUGGAACAGGAUGGGCUACAUUAUCUAACCCAGAUCAUACGGACAAAGCCAUGAAACAUGACUCUAAAAGGCGGAUUUAGCAGUAAGAUGAGAACACAACACUCAACUGAAAACAUUGCAAUGAAGUGCGUACACACCGCCCGUCA